rnacentral:rRNA from 1 species
AUUGAACGCUGGCGGCAUGCCUUACACAUGCAAGUCGAACGGCAGCGCGGACUUCGGUCUGGCGGCGAGUGGCGAACGGGUGAGUAAUAUAUCGGAACGUGCCCUGGAGUGGGGGAUAACCAGUCGAAAGACUGGCUAAUACCGCAUACGAUCUACGGAUGAAAGUGGGGGAUCGCAAGACCUCAUGCUCGUGGAGCGGCCGAUAUCUGAUUAGCUAGUUGGUGGGGUAAGAGCCCACCAAGGCAACGAUCAGUAGCCGGUCUGAGAGGACGACCAGCCACACUGGGACUGAGACACGGCCCAGACUCCUACGGGAGGCAGCAGUGGGGAAUUUUGGACAAUGGGGGCAACCCUGAUCCAGCAAUGCCGCGUGUGUGAAGAAGGCCUUCGGGUUGUAAAGCACUUUUGUCCGGAACGAAACGGUGAAGGUUAAUACCCUUUGCUACUGACGGUACUGGAAGAAUAAGCACCGGCUAACUACGUGCCAGCCGCCGCGGUAA